rnacentral:sRNA from 1 species
UUGAUUAACCCUGAAGAAUGAAAUCCUCUAGUUAAACACAAAAAAUACAGUACAGGCUUCCCCACACUGUGCCCCUCCAUCACGAUAUGGAAAGACUUGUUCCAGUAGAGAGAGGGUAAACUGCUCCAAAUCCAUUCAGUCAUCUGGCUUCU